rnacentral:rRNA from 1 species
UAAUAUACUAGUUUAGUGUGGAGUGAAUGCCUUGGAAAAAAAUAUAGGCGCGGACAAUCGCGAAAGUGUUAACACGAGGAAAGCCUGUGACGUUAACCAACCUAAAAUGGGAAACCGGGGCUAAAAAGCCCGCUGCUUAGGCAGUAUCAAGGGGAAGUGAAACAUCUCAGUACCCUGUAGACCAAAUCAACCGAGAUAUCGUUAGUAGUGGUGAGCGAAAGCGAUAAAAAGGCAAAACGAUAUUAUUAUCAAGAAUGAAAAGAAAUUCUAUUUUUAAAUAGGAUUUCUACCUUAGAAGGUGUUAGUCCUGUAAUUCUUUUUUUAUUCGUGAAAGUAAGAUGAGGCAAGUUUACCUUGUUGAGUGUAUUGGGGGACCACCCUCAAAGCCUAUAAUUAUUUUUUUUACCGAUAGUGAACGAGUACCGUGAGGGAAAGGUGAAAAAGAAGUUGCGACAGUGCAAAGAUCCUGAAACUCCAUAUUUGAGUCGAAGCUGUAAAAAGCAACGGCAUACCUUUUGUAUAAUGGGCAAGUGAAUCUUAAUAAGGGGCAAGCUUAAGCUAAUAAAAAGUGUAGGCGAAGAGAAAUCGAGUCCUAUGUGGCGCUUUAAAGUCCUUUGUUAAGUACCCGAAACCGGCUGAUCUAAACUUGAGCAGGCUGAUAUUGUAGUGGCAACAUUCUUUGGAGGGCCGAACCCGUGUAUGUGGCAAAAUACUGGGAUGACUUGAGUUUAGGGGUGAAAGGCCAAUCAAAGUCGGUGAUAGCUGGAUUUCUGCGAAAUCUAUUGAAGUAGAGCGUCCUAAACAGUGAAUUUGGGGUAGAGCACUGUGUAAGCAAGGGGGAGAUCUUCUCUUACUAAACUUUAGCAAACUCCGAAUACAAAUUUUAUAUUUAGGGCAGACAGAGUAUGUAUGCUAAGAUUCAUCCUCAAGAGGGAAACAGCCCAGACUGUAGGCUAAGGUCCAUAAAAUAGUUUCAGUGGUAAAGGUGAUUUCUGCUCUGAGACCGUCAGGAGGUAGGCUUGGAAGCAGCCAUCCUUUUAAGACAGCGUAACAGCUCACUGACCUAGAGUAGAAGUCCCGCCAAUUUUGAGGGCUUAAAACUAUUACCGAAGCCUCAGACAAAGAUGUAAACAAUUAAUCAUUUUUACAUUCUUUGUGGUAGCAGAACAUUCCGUAGGUCGUAGAAGUUUUGAUGUAAGUUAAGAUUAAGAUAUCGGAAGUGAGAAUACUUGCAUGAGUAGCAUAAAACAAUGAACUUAAAGCAUUGUGGCCGUAAGUCCAAGGUUUACGAUCUUAAGUAAAACUGGGUCGUGAGAGGGUAAUACCUCGAUUUAAAACGGUCCCUAAGCUGUUAAGCUAAGGCUUACAGUAAUGGGUAAGAUUAGACUGUUAAAAGUUGCUGACGAAAACUUCACCUUAUUCUUAAAUUUUGUUAAGGGUGAGUUAUUUUUUCCAAGAAAAAGGCACUUUAUUUUAUACCGUACCUUAAACCGCCUCAGGUGGACGGGUGGAGAACACUAAGGCCUUGAGAUAACCCUGUUGAAGGAACUCGGCAAAAUGACUCUGUAACUUCGGAAUAAGGAGUAAAGACAUAUAGCGCAAGCUUUUGUCUUUGUCACAAAAUCGGGGGUGGCGACUGUUUAUUAAAAACACAGGUCUCUGCUAACUCGUAAGAGGAUGUAUAGGGACUGACACCUGCCCGGUGCCGGUAGGUAAAGCUUUGAUGUCUACGCAUUGAGGUCAAACCCCGGUAAACGGCGGCUGUAACUAUGACGGUCCUAAGGUAGCGAAAUUCCUUGUCGGGUAAGUUCCGACCCGCAUGAAUGGUGUAACGACUUCCCCGCUGUCUCCAACAGGGACUCAGUGAAAUUACAUAGGUCGUGAAGAUGCGGCCAUCCUACAGCUGGACGGAAAGACCCCGUGCACCUUUACUAUAAGCAAAUAUUGUAGGUCAAAGACUCUAGUGUAGAAUAGGUGGGAGCUUAUGAUUCUUUCUUGUUAGGAGAUUGGUGAGGCAAUAGUGAAAUACCACCCUGAGGUCUGUUGGCUUACUAACUAAGGGACAGUGUUUGCUGGGUAGUUUGACUGGGGCGGUCGCCUCCUAAAGAGUAACGGAGGCAUACAAAGGUAGGUUCAUCUCCUUCUAAGGGGAAUCGAGUAUAAUGGUAUAAGCCUGCUUGACUGAAAGAACGACAUUUCGAUCAGAGACGUAAGUCGGUCAUAGUGAUCCGGUGGUUCUUUGUGGAAAGGCCAUCGCGCAAUGGAUAAAAGGUACGCCGGGGAUAACAGGCUAAUGAUCCUCUAAGAGCCCCUAUCGACGGGUUCGUUUGGCACCUCGAUGUCGACUCAUCACAUCCUGGAGCUGGAAAAGGUUCCAAGGGUUCGGCUGUUCGCCGACGAAAGUGGUACGUGAGUUGGGUUUAGAACGUCGUGAGACAGUUUGGUCCCUAUCUUCUGUGGGUGUUUGAAAAUUCCGAGGACUAGACCUUAGUACGAGAGGACCGGGAAAACUCGAUCCCUUGUGUUCCGGUUGUUCCCCAAGGGGCAUCGCCGGGUAGCUACAUCGAGAAGAGAUAAUCGACCAUUAGGCGAGAAACUCGCCUCUAGUAAAGUUUUCGCAAGGGGGUGGAAGAUUACCACUUAGAUAGGCGGGAGGUGUAAGAGCUGUGAGGUUUUCAGCUGACCCGUACUAAUCCCUAAAUAAUAAUAAUAAUAAUUUUAUUUGCAGACUAAAGUUUAACAACUUUUC